rnacentral:rRNA from 1 species
GAUGAACGCUAGCGGCAGGCUUAACACAUGCAAGUCGAGGGGCAGCAUAAAUUGUAGCAAUACAAUUGGUGGCGACCGGCGCACGGGUGCGUAACGCGUAUGCAACCUACCCGUCACAGGGGGAUAAUCCGGAGAAAUCUGGUCUAAUACCCCAUAACAUAUGGAUCGGCAUCGGUUUAUGUUGAAAUUUUCGGAGGUGACGGAUGGGCAUGCGUAGCAUUAGCUUGUUGGUGAGGUAACGGCUCACCAAGGCGACGAUGCUUAGGGGGACUGAGAGGUUUUCCCCCCACACUGGUACCGAGACACGGACCAGACUCCUACGGGAGGCAGCAGUGAGGAAUAUUGGUCAAUGGGCGCAAGCCUGGACCAGCCAUGCCGCGUGCAGGAUGACGGCUCUAUGAGUUGUAAACUGCUUUUGUACGAGGGUAAAGUGGGUUACGUGUAACCUUUUGAAAGUAUCGUACGAAUAAGGAUCGGCUAACUCCGUGCCAGCAGCCGCCGUAA